ensembl:antisense Gm16055 predicted gene 16055
UGGAAGCAAAGGAAAAUAACAGACACUGCACCGGCCUUCGAUGCUGAAAACCACUUUGGGAAGUACAAUUAUCCUGUGUGCCAGAGAGGAGGCUGUAGCUGGAGAAUGGGGGAGAGGGCAGGUACUGGGGGAGAAACCUAUAUGACAACUGAGAAACCCCUAAGGAGAGCUGACCCUUGUUCAGGAAUCUGUCCCAGAACUGAAGACAUUUUGAACAACACAGAGACUAGCAGACUUCUUCCCACCUGCAGAGACAGCUACAGAUACAAUAAAGAAGGUCUUAGCUGAAAAUGUGCCUCAGCCAAUUCCUUCAUAGCUUUGAGUCCUCCACGCAUCCAUGUCCUUUCUGAGCCAUUGCCUGUGCUCUGCAGACGCAGUGUCCAUAGGGAUGCCCUCACCAGCAUCUGAAGCUGCAGGCUCCGAAGAUGCAGAAGAAGAGUUUGGUAAACAUCAGGGUUCAGUUUGCGUACAGGAAAACAAACAAACAAGCAAACAAACCUCUCAAGCUGCAGCCAUCGCUUGCCAUUUAGGAUAACUCGACCCGAUUCUUUGUUUUCUCCUGAGAUCUGUGGUAGGGGACAGGAAUCUGGACAGCAGCAGUGUGAGGCUGAGAGGGAAGCGGCCGC